AAAAGCCACACUCAACGAAAACAGAGAGCUUUCUCCUCAAGAGGUGAACGAACACUCCGAUAGAGAAAUCGCUUCACUUGGAAUUUCAUCAAUGGCACUCGCUUCUCGCUUGCUAUCCAGAUCCACUCGCCAGCUAUGCGCUGGUCAGGUUGUUCUUCGACCCGAGCAUGCAGUUCCAAUUCGUUCCUUUGCCAAAGAAGCUGCUGCCCCCACUACACUGAAGGGAGACCAGGUAUUGAAGGACAUCUUUUAUGAGGUUAAGAACAAGCUUGAGACAGCAAUUGGUGUCCUACGAAAGGAGAAGAUCACCAUAGAUCCAGAAGAUCCUGCUGCUGUAUCUGAGUAUGCAAAAGUCAUGAAGUCUGUUAGACAAAAGGCUAAUCUCUUAUCAGAGUCUGAAAUUAUUAAGUUCAACAUCGAAGUAGAAACACAUGAAAUUCCAGAUGCCCGAACAUAUUUGUUGAAACUGAAGGAGAUGCGUGUGAAGAGAGGCCUCAUUGAUUCUCAAGGUAUAGAGGAUUUGCAGAUGGCAGCAUUAGAUAAAGUUGAGAAAGAAUUAAAAAAACCACUGCUGAGGAACAACGAAAAGGGAAUAGCUCUUCUUAAAGCUGAGUUUGAUAAGAUCAACCAGAAGCUUGGCAUUCGUAAAGAAGAGAUGCCAAAAUACGAAGAACAGUUGGAGCUGAAGAUUGCAAAGGCACAGUUAGAAGAACUGAAAAAGGAUGCUCUUGAAGCUAUGGAAACUCAGAAGAAGAGGGAAGAGUUCAAGGAUGAGGAGAUGCCCACUGUGAAGUCUUUGGACAUCAGAAACUUCAUUUAGAAAAUGACAUUUGUUAUUUUCCUUUUGCACCUUGUUGAUCUUGUGCUACCCUUGAACAUAAAUUUUAAUAUCCCUAAAAAUGUAGUUGUACCAGACACAUCCAAGAGGCUGCCUUUCUGAAUAAUAAGAGUUCUGACCAAGAAAUUAGCUUUUGAUAUAAUUUUGGGGCCUGAGCAUCUUUAUCUCUGCUCCUUAUUUUGCAACUGAUCUUGGUCAGUUGUUUUUUGCACUCUGUACUUGAGAUACAUGAUUGUAUCAAAUGUUUUAAUUUUUGAUGCUUUUGUG
rnacentral:misc_RNA from 1 species